UCGGAUAUGGUGUAACGGCCAACAUUGCCGCCUCUCAUUCGCAGUGCGCGGCAGCUCGGGGUUCGAUUCCCCGUAUCCGAA
rnacentral:tRNA from 1 species